rnacentral:rRNA from 1 species
AGCGAACGCUGGCGGCAGGCUUAACACAUGCAAGUCGAGCGGGCAUCCUUGUGGUGUCAGCGGCAGACGGGUGAGUAACGCGUGGGAACGUGCCCUUCGGUUCGGAAUAACUCAGGGAAACUUGAGCUAAUACCGGAUACGUGCGAGAGCAGAAAGGUUUAUCUGCCGAAGGAUCGGCCCGCGUCUGAUUAGCUAGUUGGUGAGGUUACGGCUCACCAAGGCGACGAUCAGUAGCUGGUCUGAGAGGAUGAUCAGCCACACUGGGACUGAGACACGGCCCAGACUCCUGCGGGAGGCAGCAGUGGGGAAUAUUGGACAAUGGGGGCAACCCUGAUCCAGCCAUGCCGCGUGAGUGAUGACGGCCUUAGGGUUGUAAAGCUCUUUUCUCCGGGACGAUAAUGACGGUACCGGAGGAAUAAGCCCCGGCUAACUUCGUG